GAUGAACGCUGGCGGCGUGCCUAAUACAUGCAAGUCGAGCGAACGGACGAGAAGCUUGCUUCUUUGAUGUUAGCGGCGGACGGGCGAGUAACACGUGGAUAACCUACCUAUAAGACUGGGAUAACUUCGGGAAACCGGAGCUAAUACUGGAUAAUAUUUUGAACCGCAGGGUUCAAAAGUGAAAGACGGUCUUGCUGUCACUAAUAGAUGGAUCCGCGCUGCAUUAGCUAGUUGGUAAGGUAACGGCUUACCAAGGCAACGAUGCAUAGCCGACCUGAGAGGGUGAUCGGCCACACUGGAACUGAGACACGGUCCAGACUCCUACGGGAGGCAGCAGUAGGGAAUCUUCCGCAAUGGGCGAAAGCCUGACGGAGCAACGCCGCGUGAGUGAUGAAGGUCUUCGGAUCGUAAAACUCUGUUAUUAGGGAAGAACAUAUGUGUAAGUAACUGUGCACAUCUUGACGGUACCUAAUCAGAAAGCCACGGCUAACUACGUG
rnacentral:rRNA from 1 species